GCAUCGGCUAAGAUCGGGUGCAUAUACUAAGAUUGGAACAAUACAGAGAUUAGCGUGGCCCCUGUGCAAGGAUGAUACACAAAUUUGUUAAGCGUUCCAUAUUUUU